CCUACGGGAGGCAGCAGUGGGGAAUUUUGGACAAUGGGCGCAAGCCUGAUCCAGCCAUGCCGCGUGGGUGAAGAAGGCCUUCGGGUUGUAAAGCCCUUUCGGCUGGGACGAAAAGGUCCGUGUUAACACCACGGACUAAUGACGGUACCAGCAGAAGAAGCACCGGCUAACUACGUGCCAGCAGCCGCGGUAAUACGUAGGGUGCAGGCGUUAAUCGGAAUUACUGGGCGUAAAGCGUGCGCAGGCGGUCUUUUAAGUCAGAUGUGAAAUCCCCGGGCUUAACCUGGGAACUGCGUUUGAAACUGGAAGGCUAGAGUGUGGCAGAGGGGGGUGGAAUUCCACGUGUAGCAGUGAAAUGCGUAGAUAUGUGGAGGAACACCGAUGGCGAAGGCAGCCCCCUGGGCUAACACUGACGCUCAUGCACGAAAGCGUGGGGAGCAAACAGGAUUAGAUACCCUGGUAGUCCACGCCCUAAACUAUGUCAACUGGUUGUCGGGGAAGCAAUUCCUUGGUAACGAAGCUAACGCGUGAAGUUGACCGCCUGGGGAGUACGGCCGCAAGGUUAAAACUCAAAGGAAUUGACGGGGACCCGCACAAGCGGUGGAUUAUGUGGAUUAAUUCGAUGCAACGCGAAAAACCUUACCUACCCUUGACAUGCCAGGAACCUCGCAGAGAUGUGAGGGUGCCCGAAAGGGAACCUGGACACAGGUGCUGCAUGGCUGUCGUCAGCUCGUGUCGUGAGAUGUUGGGUUAAGUCCCGCAACGAGCGCAACCCUUGCCAUUAGUUGCCACAUUAGUUGGGCACUCUAAUGGGACUGCCGGUGACAAACCGGAGGAAGGUGGGGGAUGACGUCAAGUCCUCAUGGCCCUUAUGGGUAGGGCUUCACACGUAAUACAUGGCCGGUACAGAGGGCAGCCAACCCGCGAGGGGGAGCUAAUCCCAGAAGCCGGUCGUAGUCCGGAUUGCAGUCUGCACUCGACUGCAUGAAGCGGAUCGCUAGUAAUCGCGGAUCAGCAUGGUCCCGGUGAAUACGUUCCCGG
rnacentral:rRNA from 1 species